rnacentral:rRNA from 1 species
GGUUAAGCGACUAAGCGUACACGGUGGAUGCCCCGGCAGUCAGAGGCGAUGAAGGACGUGCUAAUCUGCGAAAAGCGUCGGUAAGGUGAUAUGAACCGUUAUAACCGGCGAUGUCCGAAUGGGGAAACCCAGUGCAAUUCGUUGCACUAUCGUUAACUGAAUACAUAGGUUAACGAGGCGAACCGGGGAACUGAAACAUCUAAGUACCCCGAGGAAAAGAAAUCAACCGAGAUUCCCCCAGUAGCGGCGAGCGAACGGGGAGCAGCCCAGAGUCUGAAUCAGCUUGUGUGUUAGUGGAACGGUCUGGAAAGUCCGACGGUACAGGGUGAUAGUCCCGUACACCAAAAUGCACAGGUUGUGAACUCGAAGAGUAGGGCGGGACACGUGGUAUCCUGUCUGAAUAUGGGGGGACCAUCCUCCAAGGCUAAAUACUCCUGACUGACCGAUAGUGAACCAGUACCGUGAGGGAAAGGCGAAAAGAACCCCGGCGAGGGGAGUGAAAAAGAACCUGAAACCGUGUACGUACAAGCAGUGGGAGCACCUUCGGGUGUGACUGCGUACCUUUUGUAUAAUGGGUCAGCGACUUAUAUUCUGUAGCAAGGUUAACCGUAUAGGGGAGCCGCAGGGAAACCGAGUCUUAACUGGGCGUUAAGUUGCAGGGUAUAGACCCGAAACCCGGUGAUCUAGCCAUGGGCAGGUUGAAGGUUGGGUAACACUAACUGGAGGACCGAACCGACUAAUGUUGAAAAAUUAGCGGAUGACUUGUGGCUGGGGGUGAAAGGCCAAUCAAACCGGGAGAUAGCUGGUUCUCCCCGAAAGCUAUUUAGGUAGCGCCUCGUGAAUUCAUCUUCGGGGUAGAGCACUGUUUCGGCUAGGGGGUCAUCCCGACUUACCAACCCGAUGCAAACUACGAAUACCGAAGAAUGUUAUCACGGGAGACACACGGCGGGUGCUAACGUCCGUCGUGAAGAGGGAAACAACCCAGACCGCCAGCUAAGGUCCCAAAGUCAUGGUUAAGUGGGAAACGAUGUGGGAAGGCACAGACAGCCGGAUGUUGGCUUAGAAGCAGCCAUCAUUUAAAGAAAGCGUAAUAGCUCACUGGUCGAGUCGGCCUGCGCGGAAGAUGUAACGGGGCUAAACCAUGCACCGAAGCUGCGGCAGCGACACUAUGUGUUGUUGGGUAGGGGAGCGUUCUGUAAGCCUGCGAAGGUGACCUGUGAGGGUUGCUGGAGGUAUCAGAAGUGCGAAUGCUGACAUAAGUAACGAUAAAGCGGGUGAAAAGCCCGCUCGCCGGAAGACCAAGGGUUCCUGUCCAACGUUAAUCGGGGCAGGGUGAGUCGACCCCUAAGGCGAGGCCGAAAGGCGUAGUCGAUGGGAAACAGGUUAAUAUUCCUGUACUUGGUGUUACUGCGAAGGGGGGACGGAGAAGGCUAUGUUAGCCGGGCGACGGUUGUCCCGGUUUAAGCAUGUAGGCUGGUUGUCCAGGCAAAUCCGGAUAAUCAAGGCUGAGGUGUGAUGACGAGGCACUACGGUGCUGAAGUAACAAAUGCCCUGCUUCCAGGAAAAGCCUCUAAGCAUCAGGUAACAUCAAAUCGUACCCCAAACCGACACAGGUGGUCAGGUAGAGAAUACCAAGGCGCUUGAGAGAACUCGGGUGAAGGAACUAGGCAAAAUGGUGCCGUAACUUCGGGAGAAGGCACGCUGGUGUGUAGGUGAAGUCCCUGCGGAUGGAGCUGAGACCAGUCGAAGAUACCAGCUGGCUGCAACUGUUUAUUAAAAACACAGCACUGUGCAAACACGAAAGUGGACGUAUACGGUGUGACGCCUGCCCGGUGCCGGAAGGUUAAUUGAUGGGGUUAUCCGUAAGGAGAAGCUCUUGAUCGAAGCCCCGGUAAACGGCGGCCGUAACUAUAACGGUCCUAAGGUAGCGAAAUUCCUUGUCGGGUAAGUUCCGACCUGCACGAAUGGCGUAAUGAUGGCCGGCUGUCUCCACCCGAGACUCAGUGAAAUUGAACUCGCUGUGAAGAUGCAGUGUACCCGCGGCAAGACGGAAAGACCCCGUGAACCUUUACUAUAGCUUGACACUGAACAUUGAGCCUUGAUGUGUAGGAUAGGUGGGAGGCUUUGAAGCGUGGACGCCAGUCUGCGUGGAGCCAACCUUGAAAUACCACCCUUUAAUGUUUGAUGUUCUAACGUUGGCCCCUUACCGGGGUUGCGGACAGUGUCUGGUGGGUAGUUUGACUGGGGCGGUCUCCUCCCAAAGCGUAACGGAGGAGCACGAAGGUUAGCUAAUCCUGGUCGGACAUCAGGAGGUUAGUGCAAUGGCAUAAGCUAGCUUGACUGCGAGCGUGACGGCGCGAGCAGGUGCGAAAGCAGGUCAUAGUGAUCCGGUGGUUCUGAAUGGAAGGGCCAUCGCUCAACGGAUAAAAGGUACUCCGGGGAUAACAGGCUGAUACCGCCCAAGAGUUCAUAUCGACGGCGGUGUUUGGCACCUCGAUGUCGGCUCAUCACAUCCUGGGGCUGAAGUAGGUCCCAAGGGUAUGGCUGUUCGCCAUUUAAAGUGGUACGCGAGCUGGGUUUAGAACGUCGUGAGACAGUUCGGUCCCUAUCUGCCGUGGGCGCUGGAGAAUUGAGGGGGCUGCUCCUAGUACGAGAGGACCGGAGUGGACGCAUCACUGGUGUUCGGGUUGUCAUGCCAAUGGCACUGCCCGGUAGCUAAAUGCGGAAGAGAUAAGUGCUGAAAGCAUCUAAGCACGAAACUUGCCCCGAGAUGAGUUCUCCCUGAGACUUUAAGUCUCCUGAAGGAACGUUAAAGACGAUGACGUUGAUAGGCCGGGUGUGUAAGCGCAGCGAUGCGUUGAGCUAACCGGUACUAAUGAACCGUGAGGCUUAACCUU